AUUGAACGCUGGCGGCAGGCCUAACACAUGCAAGUCGAGCGGAGCGGCGGACGGGUGAGUAAGGCCUAGGUAUCUGCCUGGUAGUGGGGGAUAACGUCCGGAAACGGGCGCUAAUACCGCAUACUCUCUGAUGAGCCUAGGGGGGAUUAGCUAGUUGGUGGGGUAAAGGCCUACCAAGGCGACGAUCCGUAACUGGUCUGAGAGGAUGAUCAGUCACACUGGAACUGAGACACGGUCCAGACUCCUACGGGAGGCAGCAGUGGGGAAUAUUGCACAAUGGGCGAAAGCCUGAUCCAGCCAUGCCGCGUGUGUGAAGAAGGGCUUCGGGUUGUAAAGCACUUUAAGUUGGGAGGCGUUACCAACAGAAUAAGCACCGGCUAACUUCGUGCCAGCAGCCGCGGUAAUAC
rnacentral:rRNA from 1 species